UACGUAGGGGGCAAGCGUUAUCCGGAUUUACUGGGUGUAAAGGGAGCGUAGACGGCAAUGCAAGUCUGGAGUGAAAGGCGGGGGCCCAACCCCCGGACUGCUCUGGAAACUGUAUAGCUGGAGUGCAGGAGAGGUAAGUGGAAUUCCUAGUGUAGCGGUGAGAUGCGUAGAUAUUAGGAGGAACACCAGUGGCGAAGGCGGCUUACUGGACUGUAACUGACGUUGAGGCUCGAAAGCGUGGGGAGCAAACAGG
rnacentral:rRNA from 1 species